CCUACGGGAGACAGCAGUGAGGAAUAUUGGUCAAUGGACGCAAGUCUGAACCAGCCAAGCCGCGUGCAGGAAGACGGCUCUAAGCGUUGUAAACUUCUUUUGUCCAGGGACAAAAUCAUACACGCGUGCCUGUCUGAAAGUACUUUAAUAAAAAGCAUCGGCUAACUCCGUGCCAGCAGCCGCGGUAAUACGGAGGAUUCGAUCGUUAUCCGGAUUUAUUGGGUUUAAAGGGUGCGUAGGCGGGGUGUUAAGUUAGGGGGGAACAGCCGGGGCACAAACCCGGAGAUGCCUUGGAAACGGGUUGUCUUGAGAGGAGUGGCGGUAUGCGGAAUGUGUGGUGUAGCGGUGAAAUGCUUAGAGAU
rnacentral:rRNA from 1 species